AUUGAACGCUGGCGGCAGGCCUAACACAUGCAAGUCGAGCGGAUGAAGAGAGCUUGCUCUCUGAUUUAGCGGCGGACGGGUGAGUAAUGCCUAGGAAUCUGCCUGGUAGUGGGGGAUAACGUUCCGAAAGGAACGCUAAUACCGCGUAUGUCCUACGGGAGAAAGCAGGGGACCUUCGGGCCUUGCGCUAUCAGAUGAGCCUAGGUCGGAUUAGCUAGUUGGUGAGGUAAUGGCUCACCAAGGCGACGAUCCGUAACUGGUCUGAGAGGAUGAUCAGUCACACUGGAACUGAGAUACGGUCCAGACUCCUACGGGAGGCAGCAGUGGGGAAUAUUGGACAAUGGGCGAAAGCCUGAUCCAGCCAUGCCGCGUGUGAAGAAGGUCUUCGGAUUGUAAAGCACUCUAAGUUGGGAGGAAGGGCAGUAAGUUAAUACCUUGCUGUUUUGACGUUACCGACAGAAUAAGCACCGGCUAACUUCGUGCCAGCCGCCGCGGUAAAAC
rnacentral:rRNA from 1 species